UACGGAGGUCCCAAGCGUUGUUCGGAUUCACUGGGCGUAAAGGGUGCGUAGGCGGCUGAGUAAGUCUGAUGUGAAAUCUCCGAGCCUAACUCGGAAACUGCAUCGGAUACUAUUCAGCUAGAGGAUUGGAAGGGAGACUGGAAUUCUCGGUGUAGCAGUGAAAUGCGUAGAUAUCGAGAGGAACACCAGUGGCGAAGGCGAGUCUCUGGACAAUUCCUGACGCUGAGGCACGAAAGCCAGGGGAGCAAACGGG
rnacentral:rRNA from 1 species